CUCAGCUUUACUGGCUGCCCGUUCCUGCAUCCACGGUGCCGAGGUCUCUUUCACCCCAAGCUCCUCCUACCUGCCAAAUUUCCCAGCUCCUCUCCAAGGCACUUGGAGCUCAUGUGGAUUAUACGGAGCGAGGCUGCAUGCCCAUAACACCCUGUAUACGGCGUCAUCAGUCACCUGCAGCAGAGGCAGCCACCUCUGGGAGGGAACGUGGCAGAUGGCCAGAAAGCCAGAGCAGCAUCGCCGAGGUGGGGACAUGAGGAAUGCCUGCAAGGAUGGACAUCCCUGCCCUGGCCCCAGGGGGAGUUGAAGGAGGCAGGAUGGAAUUAUACAUCUUGGAAACUGGAAGUUUUCUACCAUCAGCUGCAUCCUGAGGUUUUAAGAGAUAAAGCCCAGCAGGUGGGAAGGAAGAGAUUGAACAGGGCAGUUUUUCAUUCUUCCAUAAGCAAAUUCUUGGCCGCAAUCUCUCCGGCUCCUGGUGCGGUGGCCCUAACGAAACUAGACAGCACAGCCCGAAAUCCUUCCUGCAUAAUUGUGUGCUUCACUGGACUGACACUGGGAAUGAAUUUAGCUCACCCGAGGCUCAGCUGGAAAUGGGGUGGCUUUUGAGGAGCUUACGCUCUGUCCUGGUGUAUCACCUGUCAUUGAUUGAUCACCUUUUCUGCAGACUCUGACAAGAGAUUAUCCCAGCGAAGGCUAAGAGGCCACGGAAAACAAGGAACAAGUUCUGUUUAGAGCUUCUGGUCCCCGUCUGCACCACUGCCAUCAGAAACCAGGGAGCAUUUGUCUGGUCCUCCCUUGGAUUGCAACAUAUUUCUGUUUUCUUACCAUAUAGACUCAUCCCAGUUUGUUUCUAAGCGAAUUGCUUUUUUGUUCAUGUUGCAUAUUCCCUAAACAGUCGUAUUAGUGGUGACAGCAUGUCAUCUUGAUGGUGUUAUGACAGUAUGACGCCAAACUAGUAUUAACAUAACAUUUCUUUUUAAA